rnacentral:ncRNA from 1 species
GCGCCGGUGCCGUCUACGCCUCGCGCGCAGUCUGACGAUGUCGCCGCCCGUAACGGCACGGGGCGGCGCAGACGAGAGGA